rnacentral:rRNA from 1 species
UACCUGCAGCUCGAGUGGUAACCGCUAUUAUUGGGCCUAAAGCGUCCGUAGCCGGUUUGGUAGAUAUCUGGGUAAAUCGUGAGGCUUAACUUCACGAAUUUCGGAUAGACUGCCAGACUUGGGAUCGGGGGAGGUCAGAGGUACUCCAGGGGUAGCGGUGAAAUGUUGUAAUCCUUGGAGGACCACCGGUAGCGAAGGCGUCUGACUAGAACGAGUCCGACGGUGAGGGACGAAGCCCUGGGGCGCAAACCGGAUUAGAUACCCGGGUAGUCCAGGGUGUAAACUAUGUGGGCUUUGUAUUGGAGGUCCCACGUGGGCGUCCAGUGCAGAAGAGAAGUUGUUAAGCCCACCGCCUGGGAAGUACGGUCGCAAGGCUGAAACUUAAAGGAAUUGGCGGGGAGCACAGCAACGGGAGGAGCGUGCGGUUU